rnacentral:rRNA from 1 species
GACGAACGCUGGCGGCGUGCUUAACACAUGCAAGUCGAGCGGUAAGGCCUUUCGGGGUACCCGUGCGGCGAACGGGUGAGUAACACGUGGAUGAUCUGCCCUGCACUUCGGGAUAAGCCUGGGAAACUGGGUCUAAUACCGGUUAUGACCUCCUACCGCUUGGUGGGUGGUGGAAAGAUUUAUCGGUUGGGGAUGGGCACGCGGCCUAUCAGCUUGUUGGUGGGGUUGUGGCCUACCAAGGCUACGACGGGUAGCCGGCCUGAGAGGGUGACCGGCGACAUUGGGAGUGAGAUACGGCGCAGACGCCUAGGGGAGGCAGCAGUGGGGAAUAUUGUAAAAUGGGCGGAAGCAGGAUGCAGAAACGCCGCGUGGGGGAUGACGGCCGUCGGGUUGUAAACCGCUUUCGACUGUGACGAAGAGGGAGUGACGGUAAUGGGUAAAGAAGCACCGGCUAAAUACGUG